UACAACGAGAGAAAUGUAAUAAUCGAGUGCAACAUGAACGAAAAAACUAUAGAACCAAUAAAAAAUUGCAUUGUUGACCAGUGUCUCAGCCAACAGAUUUCCGAGAUGACGAAAGAUGCAGGUAAAUAUUAUUGUACCCGUAUGCUUGUUUUUUUUUUAAUCUAAAAAUUAAUGUUGUUAUUAAGAAAUUUUACCCUAUAACUCUAAUUUCUUAUACUAUUUCAAAAAUUAUUUAUUCUAUCUUUAAAUUAUUUUUUUGAUCAGAAAAGCAGUUCUUUUAGUUUCAUCACUUUUAUUAAAUGUUUAGUUUAAGUUCAUUGUUUGUGGAACAACAUGAUGUUUUUGUGAAGCAUUGUGUAACGUGCCCGGGGUAUGAGGCUUUUAUGAUUGAUCAAAUCACCAAUGAAGGAUAUAUAUUUCAUUGUAACCAUUAUAUGAUAAUUCCUGGUAAGUUGUUAUAUGGGUAAUCCUUGUUGAUCUGGUAAGGUAAAUCCCUGUGUUGGUCAGUAAUAUAUUGCCAUGCAUGGGCAAACAAGAUCACAAGAUAAAGAUUAUUAAAGUUUCAACAAUGAUUUAAUUAACGUAAUUAAUAUAAUUCAGAUGACUGGAUACCAAAUAAUCAAUCCAUGGUGAUGUAAUACAUUUGAUCAGAUCGGACGUCACAUAUUAUGAUUUGGUCACAUAUUAUGAUUUGGCAAAAAAGUAACUAUUGAUUUUAUUAAAUCUGGUCAAUGUAAACUAUAUAAAAACUUCGUAGAGACUGUUGAAUUCCUUAAUAAAUUUAUUUGGUAAAUGUAACCUAUAGUAAAACCUCCUCAAGCGUUAGUUAUAUCAGUAUUUACGUACAAUUUCUAUGAAAGUUGUUGAGCCGACGUUCUGCAGAGUCAAAAGUCUGUGGCGACGCUUACAUAGGGUUUAACUACCGAACAUGCGCAGUGCGCUUUACCUAACCAAAAUGAAAGUAUAGACCAAAAUGGCAGACGAUACUAACAACAUCGCUGAAGUGGGACAAACCAUGAAAAAUACGAACCGUAAAACAAAUACAUAAUAAUAAACAAUAAAGGUAAGAUGAAUGAAAAUUUACAAUAUAUGUUGCGUAUAGGUUAACAGUAAUAAAAUAAUGACGUUCGAGGACGAAGUACAAUAACCUGAACCCCUCUUGUAAGUUCGAAUCUUCUGAAUCACCAUGACCAAAAAGGAAAACAACGUGAUCGACAGACACACAUCAAAGCCGGUAUUUACGAUCAAUUUGCACAAUGUACUGUAUUUGUAAUAGACAUUUCAUAUUAAAUGCUUGUAUAAUCACAAGAGUUCAUAUUUUUACGUAUCCAUGAGUUCACAGUCCAUAAAACACAUAUAUUUCACAUCAAUACAUCUUUCCCUCCUUUGAUAAACUGUUCGUCCUCGAACAAAAAUGUUAAACAAGAAAUGUUUGUAUGCAAUGGUAUAAUAAACAAUUAUAAUGAAAUAUCGACAUAGGAUAUAGAUUUAUAACAUGAAUUGAUAUAAUUUUCUUUUUCACACGAAAACGCAGAAUCCAGUAAAUGUUUGCAGUCAUGAUCCACUCAGAUGAAGAAACAGUCAAAGGUAAAAGACACUAUCAAGGUUAUUGGCCGCCAUCUUGGACUGGGGGCAAACAUUGGGGGCUGACGUCACAAAAACAAUGGCCGACGCGAGGCGAAGCGAGAACGGAUCAGCAAAAUAAACCGCCGCAUGUUAUCUACGACCUUACAGCUGUAAAUAACUAUGCACAAAAGACUCUCAGCAAAUUAUCGACAGCAAGUCAUACCAGUAUCAAAGAGUCAAGAGUCAUAAAUACAAAGGCCUGUACACAAAGAAAGAAUGCCUAAUAAGCCACAAGGAAAGUUAUCACAACAACAUCGGGUACCGACAUUUCAACUUCAAAGGAGACAGAUUCUACAACCGAAUUAAAGCAAACAGAAGAAAAUAAAAAUUCAACAUGUUUGCCUAAUUUUAAACAAGAGUAUUUCAAAGGCUCUUCGGAAAACGAAACAGCAUAUGGGGCAGUAAUCGGAGCUUUACUAGGUGGUAUUGUACUUGGAGCUGUGUUGGAAUUUCUUAUCACAACUUUAUUCAGAAGAGCACAAUUAAGAAAGGAUGAAAAAAACAAAAAAAUCUUUUCAGAGACACAGGGGAGGUCGAGCUGACAAGUAAUGCAGCUUAUAACUGUAGUUCACUUAAAGUACCCUACGACAUGGAGUAUGACGAGAAACCAACGGGACACUUGUAUACCCAAAUUACACAAAUCCAAAGUCAAAAGAAUUCUCGGUCCAAACAUGAAUAUGAAAAUAGUGGACAGAAAAGGGAAAAAAUGGAGGAUCAAUUAUAUAAUCAUCUUAAUGAAAAAGAGGAAACAGAUAGAGCGGACUAUUAUGAUCACGCCAGCGUUGUUCCCAUUUCAACUCAUCCAGAAUGUUAUGAAAUAAUUAUGAAGUCAAAUUUUAAUAAUUCCAAUUUAUACACGGAAGUCGUGGGGGAAGGAUUCAAGAUCAAGGAAAAUAAUCAAGACUUAAAAGAAAAGGAAUAUGUACAUGUAG